AGGGAUGUAGCUCGGUGGUAGAGCACUUGCCUAGUAUGCAUGAGGCCCUGAGUUCAGUCCAUAGUACCACUG
rnacentral:tRNA from 1 species